GCCGUAGCUCAGUGGCAGAGGAUCUGCCUGGCAUGCAAAAGGUGGCAGGUUCAAUCCCCGGUAUCUCCA